UACGGAGGAUCCAAGCGUUAUCCGGAUUUAUUGGGUUUAAAGGGUGCGUAGGCGGAUUGAUAAGUUAGAGGUGAAAUGUCCGAGCUCAACUCGGGAACUGCCUCUAAUACUGUUGAUCUAGAGAGUAGAUGCGGUAGGCGGAAUGUAUGGUGUAGCGGUGAAAUGCUUAGAUAUCACGCAGAACCCCGAUUGCGAAGGCAGCCUUCCGGCGCCCUACUGACGCUGAGGCACGAAAGUGCGGGGAUCGAACAGG
rnacentral:rRNA from 1 species